rnacentral:rRNA from 1 species
UACGGAGGGUGCGAGCGUUGUUCGGAAUCACUGGGCGUAAAGCGCGUGUAGGCGGCCCACUAAGUCUGAUGUGAAAGCCCGGGGCUCACCCCCCGGAAGUGCAUUGGAAACUGGUGGACUCGAGUCCCGGAGAGGAGAGUGGAAUUCCUGGUGUAGCGGUGAAAUGCGUAGAGAUCGGGGGGACACCCGUGGCGGAAAGGCGGCCA